rnacentral:rRNA from 1 species
GGUAAAGGCCUACCAAGGCAGUGAUCUAUAGCUGGUCUGAGAGGAUGAUCAGCCACACUGGAACUGAGAUACGGUCCAGACUCCUACGGGAGGCAGCAGUGGGGAAUAUUGGACAAUGGGCGCAAGCCUGAUCCAGCUAUGCCGCGUGAGUGAGGAAGGCCUUAGGGUUGUAAAACUCUUUCAGUGGGGAAGAUAAUGACGGUACCCACAGAAGAAGUCCCGGCAAACUCCGUGCCAGCAGCCGCGGUAAUACGGAGGGGGCAAGCGUUGUUCGGAAUUAUUGGGCGUAAAGGGCAUGUAGGCGGUUCGGUAAGUUAAAGGUGAAAUGCCAGGGCUUAACCCUGGAGCUGCUUUUAAUACUGCC